GCUGAAAUAGCUCAGUUGGGAGAGCGUUAGACUGAAAAUCUAAUGGUCCCUGGUUCGAUCGCGGGUUUCGGCA
rfam:Daphnia pulex DAPPTscaffold_1141_Cont12017, whole genome shotgun sequence.